GUUCUCUUGCAAGCAAAUUAAAUGUUGUCAAACGGGUGUCUUCAGUUGUUUGCCCAGCAAGCAUUUCAGCUGGAGCAGAGGUAGUGGAGCCUCAUCUGUCUUUCAAAGAGGUUUCAAAUCCACAGAAGCAGAAUCUGUUUAUCAGUAAGUUGAACGUUUGCUGCGAGAUCAUUGAUUCUAUCGAUCCAGCUAAACGGCAAGAUCUUAAGCGUGAAACAUUGAUUGAGCUGCAGGUCGCACCAUAUAAGGGAAGGAAGGGUGAGUCAAAUUGGGGUCUUAACACAUCUAGAGAAUUACAAGUACUCAAUCGUAUCUGGAAUCUUGAAGAACAGCAUGCAUCUAAUAUAUCAUUGGUAAAAG